GAGGCUUUACGACGUCGUCUUGA
rnacentral:piRNA from 1 species